UUGCAUGUGGCCACGGGCCCUUUCCUGGCACUCACUUGUGUGGGACCACUGCCUUGCGUGGCACUUGUUUUGUGGGAGCUCUGGGGCUGAGACUGCACUCUUGUGACCCUCGGGGACAGUAAGCUGAAUCGUUCACAGCAAUAGGACAUUGCAAACCAGCAUGUCACUGGAAAAGCCCUUGGGAGACCUGGGGCGGUCAGCUCAGCCGGGCCCUAUGCUGUGCGUCACCAGCCGUGUCCAUGGUCCUCAGUGCACAACAGGCUUUACCCAUGUUUGCUGUAGGGACUUCUAAGUGUCAGUGAGAAAACAGCAGUCCGGCAGCACGGGACACCAGGCGUGCUGUGUCCUAGAGAGAGGGAGGAGUGCGCCAGGUGUCCCCAGGUCUCCUCUUCAGGGCUCUGUCCCCAGCCCGCUACUGAGGGAGCCGGGCGUCCAGCUCCUCGCUGGCCUCUUGCUGCUGGGCAAGCUGCAGACUCUCCUCCUUCCCCUCGCUCACCUCGGAGCUGUGCGCCAAAACCGGCACAGUGCCAUGGACAGUGCCCAGGGAGCAGGUGCAGCUGCCAGAGUUUGGGGUGAAACAUGCCUUUUGAACUCCAGGAAAUUUGCUGGGGAGAGUCAGCUCAGCCCAGCCCUUGCCUGUGGGCCUGUGACCAGCCAUUGCAUAGGCAGGGCGUGUCCCCAGCGGGCAACAGUGAGGAGCCCAGCAGACUAGGGGAGACUGAGGGGAAGGGGCAGCGCAGCAACGAAACUCCCUUCCCGUGGCUUCUGCCGAGGCCAGAAAGGACCUGGUCAGCACCCGCCGUUUCAAAAGUAAGUUAACUACGAAACACUGGGUAUUCGUGCUAAAGAGUCCUCCGUCUGAUGAGCAGCAGGAAAGAAUCUUAGGUGACAGAGCACAGGCGCUCAUGAGGUCGGUCAGGGAGGAAAGCGGCAGGAGGCCCUGCUCCAGGGUCAGUGAGGCUGGCACCUGGUCGUGCUGUGCCCACCGCUGCACGCUGCGCCUUGUGGGGGUUAGGCAGUUCUUAGCCCAAAAAGAAAGAAAACACAACCAGGAGGAGAGUGGCGGGAGAACGGCAGGCCUAGUUCCGACAAAGAGCAGGGGAUGAGCAGGCCCAGGGUAGCCGCAGGCCAGGGCCGUGUCCCAGGGGGAGGAGACGCGGCUCCCGUCUCUCCUCACCGCGCUCGCACGGUCACUCACUGUCUUCCCUGGCCCGGGUUGGCCCCAGGCCCUUCUCACAAAGCCUCACCCCGGCCCUUUUUAAACUUCGGCUGAGGGUCCUGCCAAGCCACUGACCAAGACCUAUUGCGAUCUUCCUGCCUCGGCCUCCAGAGCACUGGGGUCAGAGGCAGGUGCAGCGCGGCCUGGCUUCUCGUUUGCUCUUCACAAACCGUUUCUUAGUCCGUCUCCUGCGUUCACACACGCUACCUGGUCGGGAGGCUCUGGCAGGCGGGCCUUGGCGAUCGCCUCUUUGCGCAGAUGAGGAAAUCACCUGGACCCCAUGUCCUGUCCUGCAGAGAGAUUCCUGGCCGCCUUCCUGUCCCUCCUCAGGAGUCUCCAGGGGGCCGGGGACAGCACGGGAAGCCAGGCUGCUGUAGGGGCACCGCGGGAAGUGACUCACCGGAAAGCACCGUGUGGGUGUCCACAUGGACGGGCGCCUUUGCGGGGAAUGUGGUGUGGCAGGGCCUGCAUCCACUCGGAGUCGCUGAGCAGCCAUCAGGCCGUGAGUGCCGGUGCUUGGUACUGUGUGUAAGUGGUAAUUAGCUGGAGUGGUACCUGUCGAGCAUGCCCGAUUUUCAGGGCCUGUGAAAUCCGUGUAAUAAGAGGUGACACCCAGAAAUACCGGACGCAGGGAGGAGGCUGUGUGGCCUGGAGUGGAAGGGUGUGACUGCCCACGGGGUCAGCGGAGCAGGUGAGCUAAGAUCUGGCCUUUCUAGCACCAGAGCAAAAGGAGACAGAAUCCAGACAGACGUUCAGAAGCCACCUCGUCACAGCGCGCCCAUCUGGAUGUUUCUGCUCCUCAGAGGCCUUUCCCAAGAAUCUUGUUGGGACCCUGGCUGUACUCUUCGCCUCCUGUGCGUUCCUUUUCCCUUUGUUUUUUCUUCUUUUUGCACUCAUAAAAGCAGUAAUUCUAUAGAGUAGGUGUGACGGCACACGCCUAUAAUCCCAGCACUCUGGAGGCUGAGGCAGGAGGAUCGCCAUGAGUUUGUGGCCGGCUCGGUCCAUGAUCAUCCUGCUCUACCUAGUGAGACCCUGUCUCAAAAACAGAAAGGAGGAAAUAGAGCCUCUGGAGCAUUCGCUUUGGAGUCAACGAGAGCACAGCGCGUCCGGCUGCCUCUCCACUCCUCACCCACUCGCUCCCCUUUGCCGUGCCUGCGUGUCUCCUGAGGUGUCUACACGUCACCUGCAGGUCAGGACCGUCCCUCGGCAGGGAUGAGGCCCGAGGCUUUCUGUCCUGCCUCCAGGAGUUCCAGGGAAGGGCGGCAGCCCAGAGGCCUGCCCAGGCGCUCCAGUCUUGGGAACAGGACGCAGCCAGGGCCCAGCUGUUCACUACCCCCCCAGUCACUUUGGGGUCACCCACAGUAAUGACAGAGUAGCCGGUGCCGCUGGAAAAUUCCAGCUCUGCUACCACAAGUCAAUUUCUUAUUUGUCAGUUUAUUGUGGCGAGUGGGAUUUUUUUGUUGUUGUUUCCAAAUAGAAACAGCUGAACUUUAUUUGAAGUGUUUUUCUUUUAUUCUUUUUUGAUCUGUGUUUUGAUCGGUUGCUCUUGAUGUGGGUGCAUGUGUGUGUGUAUGUGUGUGUGUGUGUGUGUGUGUGUGUGUGUGUGUGUGUGUAUAUUAUUGGGGACACAGUGGGACAGAGAUAGAGUCUAAACUAAGUUGUUUGGUAUUAUUUCUUUUUUUCUUCCUUUUUUUUUUCAUUGAAAAACCUCAAUUGAAAGAAACCAACACUCUCUUACAUAGAGAAAGCUAGUUUAUAGAAAUAAUAAACAGUGUUUUCCCAAUAAUCCUGUGGCCCAUCACACCCCGAUUCCAGUGCACCGUCUUCUUCACUUCCGGGGCCCUCGCCAGCCCCUGGAAGGAUGCGCUGCUUGGGCUGUGGAUGGGACCUCCCCCGGCACAGCGACUGGGAGCCAUUGCUGAAGUGCGCCUCGAGGCUUCUCGCCCCUGCGCGCGUGCGUACGCUGUGGUGGUGGCUGAGCCUUAGGAGAAGGGUCAGCUUCAUCCGCGACUGCACUGUGGGGCAGUGGUGGGAAGGCAGUGGUGACAUCGCAGAACACACUGGAGAGUCCAGACACCGUCACACACGCACCUGGACCUGGACACACGCAUGUUUCUUUACCGAGAGACACACAUGCACACGCAUGUGUACCCUGGGAAGACGGCACACAGCGCUGCGAUGAGGAAGCAAGGACGAUGCGGGGAUUCCCUGGGGGCAGCCAGCGGUUCCUGGACAGAACACAGUGCGUGACUGGGGCACUGGCCAGACGGCCGGAUCUGAUGACCGCUUGUGUGGUAAAUGUGUGGGACAGAGAACUCAUCCGUGAUAUAUUAAGAACCCCGUGGAACAACAAAGAAAGGGAAAUAGCUCACCUAGAAUGAGCAAAGGGCUGUCCUGCCAUCCCGCAGGACAGGAGCUCCAGGGGGGCCACUCCCCGUCAUCUGUCACCAGGGCCUACAGUGCACGCAGGGCCCCAGCCCAGGCAGUGGGAAUACGCCUGCGCUGGGGUGGUGGUGGGCAUAUGCUCUCUAGGACAGACGUCAGCCGCCCUGGGAGCCAGCGUCCCCCCAGGGGAAACCUGGACACGUGUUUGUCCUUCAGAAGACGCAUGCCGGAAUCUCCACAGUAGCGCCUCGAAGCGCAGGUGACCCAGGCGGUUCCCAGUAGCCUGGUAGAGAGUAAACUGGGUGUCUCUGGCGAGCUGGCUCUCCAAUUCCGUUUCCUGGAGUUUUGGAGACACAUGGAAGUCACACGUGGAAGGGGAAGCAGGACAGUGCUGCUCUGGGUGGAAGGGUGAAUGCGGUUAGGGUGGGGUGCACAGGGCCUUCCUUCUGGGGUGCUGGCUGGUCUAGGUCUCCGUGCGGGGGUCCUGUGGGUGUGUGCAUGGGAAGGACGCCUCGGUGUAGACGCUGCACCGUGUUUAAAAUUCCUCCCUGGUGCGCUGGGUGCUCCCCGUGUGCCCAGGCCUGCGCUCAGCCUCUCCUACCUUCUCCUGCAGUUUUUGUAGCAGUAGUUUGCUGGGAGCAAGUCCUCCAUGUCACAGAUGAAGAAGCUGAAGCUUGGAGAGGCGACCUGGGUGGUCCACUCUCCCCACUCACACGUGCUGGGGCUGGGGUACAAGCCCAGGGUCGUGUGGCCCUGAGCGCGAGCCAUCGUCCUGGUGCAGACGUCUAGGCUUCCACCUGGGCCUGUCAUCCUCUUGCCAUGCCGUGUUCCCCUUGAGUCCCUUCCUGAGAGACAGGUGGGCGGUGGGGGCAUCCAUGGCAUGUGCAGACUUGAUUCCCGCCUGCCGAGGCUCCAGCACGCACACAGUGGCCAACUCAGUGACCCGCACUGCCCUGUUCUGACCCAGAUGGUAAUUGAGGGCAGUCUGAGUAUGGAGAAUGGAGAGGCAGAGUGGGUCUUUGUCCACUCUGUCUGCCCUCCAGACUGACUCCUGUUUGUCUCUCGGGGUUUUCCUACACCCCGCUUCCCUCGGUGUGGCAGGGUGGGUUUAGUUGUUGCUGAGCAUGCCAUGAACAAUUCCUACCAAAUACCUACACGGGUCUCUUUUCUCUUUGGGAAAGCCCAUCCCCCAUGUUGAUGUGCACCCCCCACGUGGACGCCAUGGACCCAGAGGACAGGCACCAAAAUGGGCUCCAAAGCCCCCUUUUUCUGUAGUCCCGUAACAGUAAGAUGCAAGAGACCUGGGCGGCCUGUGUGCUUCCUCCCAGCUCACAGAACCCCAGCGUGGGGGUGCCGGACAGCAGUGCCGCGUCUUGGGGAAUGCAGGAAGGUUAGAGUGAGACACUGUUCCUUCUGGGCUCCUCCUGAGGGGCCCCCCGUGCAGGCUGCCCGCCAGCACAGCGGGUGCUGCUCAGGGAAGCACCUUAAACACCCGCCAUGGCCCGAUGGCCAGGCCAGUGUGGCCUAAAGGACACCGAGGGCUGCACCCAGGGAGGCCCCCACUGUCCGUGGGAUCAUGAAGGAGCCCUGCUCUGAGGAUCCCUGCGUCUGGUCUGACGAGACCCAGGAUGGUUUCGGGCCAGCCUCUUGGCCUGGGCCAGGCUGGGUUCUUCGGCUUCUCUGCAUCAGCUGCUGGUGGUACGCUGAUAAACACUCAGUGUUUUUUUAGUUGCUGUUGAGCCAGCGUGAACUAAAAACUAGGAAAAUGUGGUAGUGCUGUUUUGCAUUAAAACCCUAAAUGUCUAAGGAAUUAGUUUUUUCUAAGAUUGAGUCUCUUUUGCCCAGCUGCUAUGAUUGGAGAUCAAGUGUAAACCAGAUCUUCUGCCCUCAGAAAGCAAACAAGUGCCCACAGAGGGGGCGGCUCCUGGGGCAUCCGGGAAGGGGUGAGCGGGCAGCGGCCUGGGGCAGGGCGGGGGGGGGGGCGGGCACAGCCCAAGCCCACUGCUGGGCUGCAGGAGCAUCGCUGUUAGUGGCCCACAGAGGGAGGCCAAGGAAGGCCUGUUUCUCACGGCUUCCCUGGUAUCCUAGCAACGGCAGCCAAGGCAGGAGCUCCAAGCCAGGAGCCGGGUCUGCUGGGAUGCGUGUUCUGUCCCGGCUUGUCCUCUUUGGCUGUUCUGGCAUACAGCCAGGCUGGUUGGGGUGAGAGUGUGGAAUGAAUGGUUCUGGUUGUGUGCUUUCCACUUUGUCUCUGUGGCUUGUAGUUUGUGCUCCUCUUUCCUGCACCCCUAGAGUCAUGUGAGGGGCACUGCUUUGUUGGGUGGUGCAUCCUUUGGUCUUGUUGCCUGGCUGAGUUGAUUUGCUGUCUCCCGCUGUUUGCUCGGCUUUCUGUGCUCCAGAGCGUGGACUUGCAGGCUGCUUCUCACACGGUCAGGAUGCCAGUCUGGUGGGGGUGGGGAAGGGAACCGUGCUGGGCCUGCAGGUACCAGCAUCACCCUCACUCUCCCCGUCCCACUGCUGGCACAGGGCACAGCUGCCCUCCAGCAGAGUGGGACUGAAGCUUGCGUGGCUCUGCCGCUGUCAUUCAGCUGGUGGCGUUGAGAUGAGCCUGUGUCAUCUUAGGCCUCUUUCUCAGUGGUUCCUAUCACAUGCUGGAUCUGCCUGUUGGAGCUAAGCGCAGGUCCUUCACUUGCACCUCACUCCUAACAACUGCACAGUCUGAGCUUAGGGGAAAUCUCCUGCAAACCCCCACCUGAAGCGUUUCGCUUGUUCACUGGCCUGCGAACGUAAUUUGAAAAUUUUCAGAACCGUUUCCUCAUAUAGUCCUUUACAGGGCAGGGGCCCUGCAGGCCUCCGGUGCACUGUGCUGCAGAGAGCUCAGCAUAGGAGAAAGCACUUGUUAUUCUUAAUUUACGUCAAAAGUGUCACACUUGACCUAGACUGGGCCAAAGAGUGAGCAGAGAGCAGCUCCAAGUUGACUCCUGGCCCCUUGGCAUGCACUGAUUCCAGCGCCAUGCACAGCCCUGUCGCAGGUGCUGGAUGGUUAUGUCACGCCUGUCCCCAAAUGGCUUUACCAAGCUGCGUCACUGGCCACAGUCAUCACACUUUACUGAGUCACCAGCGGUUCGAAAUGACAACCAUUCUGCAGCAUGAGAUUUACUUUCACAGGCCUGCAGGUUACAGCCGCAGAGCUGGCCGAGUGUGAACCGGUGGCCAGGGCUUUCAGCGUGCAUGCGCGCAGGCACUGCACCACUAAGGCACGCCCCGCCCCGCCCUGCCCCAGCCUCUGUUCAAAGAGUUAAUUAUUUGACCAUUUUUCUUUUUGCAUUAGCUUUCUUUAUUAAGAACAGUAGUGACUUUUGAAUAUAGUUAGGAAAUUAAUAAGUAACUUUUUAAAUUGUAAUGCAUAACACCAUCGGCACACAAUAUACAUUUUGUAAAUUGAGUAGGUAAGUUAGGCGUGGAGAACUGUACUGCAGGUAACCAUGACUAAUUGUUAGAAUUUUUGCCUAAAAUAACCUCGGGCAGAUAUAGCAGUGACACAGGGGUCUGUCAAAACAUCGGUGUGCCACAACCAUUCUGAGUGUUAAAUACCUCCGCUGUUUUAUUUCAAGCCAUUCUUAUAGGAAGUAUUAUGUUCUUUGUACUCGUUGUUUUUAUGGGACCAACACACUUUUUAAAAAGAAAUCUGUUGGGUGCGUUGGAUCCUGUGGGGGUCUGUGAUCUCUGGGCCUUCAUAAGCAACUCUCGUUAAUUUCGUGCGCACACAUGAAAGAAGCCACACGCUAAGCCAUGGGCCACUGAGCUGGGGAAGACAUCAGCCUUGGUCAGGGUCCAGGUGGCGGAGAAUUCAUUGUCCAGUGCCUCCAAGACAGUGCUCCGCGGGUGGGGGAAAGCGGCCUCGGGGGCCUCACUGUGACAGCCGCCUGAGGUGUGUGUCUCUGCACCCCGAGGAACUUGGAGGAAGCUGGUGCUGCCUUCUGCCUGGAGUUGACUGUUCCCUACGGAGCACGGCCUGGUGACGGGGAGAGGGCUAGCUUCUGGGGGCUUGGGCCUUGUCCUGUUUCAGUCACACGAGCUCCUUUCAUUAGAUAAUAGUUUGACAUCUGGAAGGUGCCAGCUGGCUUUCCAGUGUGCUCACCUUUCCCAUCUCUGGGUGGAGACAAGAAACCCGGCCCAUGGCGACAGGCAUUGCCAAUGUGACCUGCAAGCCCGGCCAGUGCCCAGAGGCCAGCCUGCCCACGGCGGCAGUUGGUUUUGGGGAUGAAUGAGCAGCUAGGCUAAAACAAAAAAAUAGAUGUCGAAAAGCUAUUCAGAGAACUGAGGGAAAGUGUGAAGAAAGGCAAGAAGGUAAUGUAUGGACAAAAGGAAAUGCCUGUCAAGAGAUCAGAAACCCGGAAGGAACCCUGGAGCCGGAGGGUGCAACACCUAGAAAAAACCGACUAGAGAAUUAAGUGCGGGGGGAGCCAGCACGAGAAGCGGGAAUCCCCAGUCUGAGGAAGACCAAGGGAACUCACGGACAGUGGCCGGAGUAUAAGUUCUCUAGGAACCGUGAGGCCAGCCCACGUGGAGUCCAGGAGGGGGAGGAGAAAGAAGCAGGUAGAAUAAAUAAAACAUGGCUGGAAGCUCCCCGAGAUUUAUAGGAAGGACUUGAGUGUAAAUGUUUAGAUGAGCUCUGGGUUAGAUGAGCUCAGAGGGACCCACACGGAGUGUGUAAAUCUGUUUCCUCUGGCUGGGACCAAACGCCUGACAGACAGCUUAAGGGAGGAGAGGCCACCGUUCCAGAGGUUUCAGGCCACAGGCUGCUUCAAGGUGGAGCUUCGCGGUGGCAGGGCCUGGGGGAAAGCAGCUCGCCUCAUGGCAACCAGGAAGGAGCGAGCACGGACAGGCCAGGGCUAGAUAGAGUCCCUAGGUCCGUCCCUGCGCACCCAGACACACCCGGAAAUGGGCCUUACGCAUCUUCCAGGUGUCCAUUAGGCCUGUCAAGUUGACAGCCAAGAUGACACUUUAUCAAGCCUCUGAAAGACAGAGAUCAGUUAAGACCACAUAGAUUUCUUAGCAGAAAGGAACUUUGUAGAGCAGUAAGCAGUGGGCUGCUGUGUUCAAGAUGCUAAAAGAGAAAAAAAAAGUCAUCUUUAUCUAUCCCAGCAGUCCUUCAAAUGCGAGGGAAAAAUUAAGAUUUUCACAGAUAAAAGCUGAAGGAAUUUCUUUCUGCUGCCCUGACCAGAAAGAAAUGCUCAGGGGACCACUGCUGGCUGAAAUGCCAGCUCACUAGACUGGGACUUGCAAGGCCUAUGAAGAAGUAAAUAUCUCAGUGAUUGCGAUAUAUGGGCAGUUUGUAAAACAGCUCCAACUGUCAGAUGGUUCUGACUCCACAUUUUGUUUUCUACCUAAUUUAAGAGAUGAACGCGUUUAAAAUAAUUAACUGUCUGGUAGAACACGGUGUAUAAUUUUUUGACAUUAAGAAACAGGAGGGAAGAAGAACCCAGAAGGAUUGGGGAGAAGCUGUGGAGGAGUAGCCGUAGAGUUCUUAGCAGUCACUGAAGGUACACCGACACAAAUUCAACCUUAGAGCACUAAGGGGAUCCCCAUGAAGCCACAAGAGAGAAUCCCAUACAAAAGAAAUGGGCAAUCAGUUUAAACCUUUAUUUAAAAAAUAGGUCAAAAUGUCAGCUAAACGUGAAAGAACACGCUGAUGCAGGAGGUACGGUGGGGUGCUGCCGCACGGGAGGCGGAUGGAGGGCGACAGAGGCUGGCCCUUUCCAGGGCCUGAGCCGCCGCCGCGGAAGAACACGGUCCAGCAACAGGCUCGGCUUACACUCCGAGACGCCCUAUGCAGGUGACACUUAAAAGGUAACACAGGCUAGCGAUGACCAGUGAGGGCUGGGAUGGCACGGUCAGACAGACACUCCUGGCGUCAAGGGAGGCUGUGGUGCAUGGACAUAAAGGGCUCCACACGGCAGAAAGACGUAAGACACCUGCACGACAGCCCAGAAUCCGUGGGCAAACACAGUUUGACGACAGUGGGUAGAGAUUUUGAUACCCCAGUCUCAAUAGUGGACACAACAAGCAGAGGACACAGACAGUGCCGUCAGCCAGCCUCGCCCGCAGGGCUGCCAGAGCACGCUGCCCGCGCCCCCGCCAGCAGCUGACACCUCAGGAGUGCAGGGAUGUUCUCCAGGACAGAGGGUGUGGCAGGCUGCCAGUCUCAGUAGAUUUUAAAAGACAGACAUCCAUGUGUCUUCUGUAUAAAUGAAGACAAAUCAGCAGAACUGGAAAACUGGGAAAAAAAAGUUGAAAUUAAACAACUUUAUUAAUAGGUUGAAGAAAUCAUGGGGAAAUUUGAAAAUAUUUCUAAACUAAUGAAAAAUACAAGCACAACUUACUAAAACUAAAGGGCCACAGCACAGCCCGGGCUAAGUGAGGAAAUUAUAGCUAUAAAGAUGUAAGAUAACAAGCAAGAGGGAGGUCAGAUCAGUGUCCUUACAACUUAAGGAACCAGGAAGAAGCUAGCGGAGGCAGGAAGCAGGAUCAGCACGGGGAUAAAAUGAGAUACGAGAAAAUACACACCGAGUGAACAGUGUUAAAAAUGGAAAACGGAAAAAUAGUGGAGAAAAGCUUGGAACCGAAAGCAGGUUCUUUUAGAAGAUCAGCAAAUAGACCAAUAAGGAAAGAAGGCUCAGAAGCGGAAUGGGGGCCGUUGCACAGACCUGACUCCACGGCACAGGGACGGUUGUGAGGUGCCGUGCACGCUCGCACACUAACACACUGGCUGAGCAGGGUGACGUGAAUAAGUUCCCGGGAAGCGGAAAGUUGGGAACCUAAAUUGUGAGGCGAUAGAGGUUCCGGGUACACUUGUAACCAGGAGCCUGUGCAUCAGCCAUAGAAACCUUCGCUCAGAGAAAACCCUGCACAUAGAAGGUGAGUUCUACCAAAAUUUAAAGAACUGACCAACCCUCAGACUUGCCCACAACAUUGAAAAGGGGGCACGUCCCAACUCAUUCUGUGAGAUCAGUGUUAGCCCACUAAGAAAGCCAGAUAAAACGCUGCGAAUGGAAAAUACCGACCGCGUCCUUUUGAGUACUGAUGCAGAAAUUCUCAGCAGAUACUAGCAGACUGAAUCCAGCUGCCUGUUAGAGAGCAUUCGCGUGACCAAGUAGGUUUAUUCCUGGAACGCAAGCACGGUUCACCGUGCUGACCUCAUGAAGAGAGUGAAGGAAACAAGGUCGCACAGUUGAUUAUCUGGAGACAGAGUCAGCGUCUGACAGAACCCCACGUCCUUUUGUGAGUCCAAGUAGUCAGUAAACUAGCAGUAAUGCAGCGCUCACAAUAACAGCCAGACUGAAGGAGCCCCAGGGCAGCGCAGUCGGCAGUGAAAAGCUGCCCCUUCGCGCCUCCUGCCUGCGACUCAGUGCUGAGGGUCUGGCCACAGCUAUGAGGGAAGAAAACGUAAAAGCGUCCGGACUGAAAGGAAGGAGGAAAGCUCCUCUGUGAACAGACGGUGGAUGAGCAGGAGCCCGCCAACAGCCCACAGCAGCACUGCAGUGUACUCAGCGACGUCCCGAGACACAGCCAGCGCACAGAAAUCAGGCACAUCUCUGUACACUAACGUGUACAGAGCAAUCUGAGAGGAAAUGUCAUAAUUCCUUUCACAGGUGCAUCAAAAAUAAUGAUAUACUUAGGAACUUGUUUUAACUUGUACAAUGAAAGCUUCAAACUCAUUAAAACAGACAUAAAUGCAGGUGCAUCCCAUGAUCAUAGAUUGGAAGUUUUUCUGUUGUUGUUGUCGUUUUGUUUUUUAGUUUUAUGAGCCAGAGUCUUACUAUGUAAUUCAGAAUGGCCUUGAAAAAACUAUGUAGCCCAGGCUGGCCUCAAACUUAAGGUGAUGCCCGCCUCAGCCUCUCAAGUGCUGGGGUUACAGGUGUGCACCACCACACCCGGCGGAUGGGAAGUCUUAUGCAAGUUGGUGAGGUGUCAGCGCUUGCCAAGCACUGUGCAGACUCACUGCUUCCAUGUCGGUACCCUGGUGAUGUUUUUGUGUAAGUUGGAACAAGCCCUCUUGAAAUUUGUAUGGAAUCUCAAGAGAUAUCAAAUGGUCAGAACAAUAUGUAAGAAGAAAAGAAAAGAAAAAGCUUUUGCAACUCAGGACAAAGCUAUGAAGAAUGAAAACAAUUGGUACUGCCAUAAAACAGACCAGUAGGGUAGCAAAUAGAGCCCGCAGAUAAACCAUGCUACAUGGCUUAAACAGGGCUGCAGAGUCAUUCGGUUGGAAAGCAGGUUUCCUAACACAUGGUGCUGGGAAAAUGGAAAAGCCAUAUUUAGACAGCGAAAUUGGAUCAUUGUCUAAUGCUGUGCAUGAAAGUUAAAAAGUAGAACUUAGACCUGAGCAUAACAGAGUGUAAACUCAGAAUGAAUUAGGAUUGGCAAUGACUUCUUGGUUUUUGACACCAAAAGCAAAGGAUGUAAAAAGGAACUUAAAAAUUGGCCUGCAUGAGAAUUUGUUUUCUGCAUCAAAAGAAAAUAUAAAUGGUAAAAAGGCUAACCCUGGAGUGGGAGAGAAUGCCUACAAGUCAUGUAUCUGUUAGGGAAUUAACAAUCAGAAUAAACUUUUGUUUUUUGGUACUGGGGAUCACUUGCCAAGCAGGUGCUUUGCCGCUGAGCUAAAUCCCCAGCCAGUAAACAAAGAUUUCUUUCAAGGAUGCUACACAAAUGGCCGAUAGGCACGUGUUUCUGCUCCUUAGGGCAGUGUACAUGGACACUGUGGCUAGAUACCACCCACUGAGGGUGGCCUUGGUUUUAAAGUCUAACGUUUGGCAACAAGGUGGCAAAGUUGUGACCCUUGUGCACCAUCGGUAGGAAUGAGUGUGUCACCACCAAGAAGCACAGGAUUUUCACAGAAAGUUAAAACUCUAGAAUGAGUAUGCAGCCCAGCCAUUCUGCUGCCAGAUACAUGCGCUAAAAUGUUGAAAGCAGGGCCUCAAAGGGACAGUUAAACACCUGUGUUCAUGGCAGCGCUGAGCACUGUAGCGAGGCGGGGAGCACCCACGUGUGCAGGAAGGAAAGAAGGCAGGCAGACUGAGGUCUGGCCGAGCGGUGGAACAUUACGCAGCCUUUAAAAGGAAGCCAGUUUCUAACGUGCUGCAGUGUGGGUGAACCAAGUACAUUAGGUGGAGAGCGGUAAGCCACUUGCAGAGACAGGCCCCACGUGGGCCUACUUAGCAGGGAAACUUAGAGACGUUGAAAUCAUAGAAGUAGGAAGCAGAAAGGUGCUUAGGAGAUUAAAAGGGCUGUGCAGCCAGGCGGUGGUGAAGCAUACGUAAUACCACGGGCACAUUCACCAGCCUGGAUGGACUUAGACGUGGUUGUGUGCUGUAUUUUGUUGUUUGUUUGUUGUGGCACCGGCACGUGCUGGGCAAGUGCUGUAAUCCUCAGCUACACUCCAGCCCUUUGUUACUUCAUUUUGAGACGGAGCUGAGAUGUUCCAGCAGGCCUGGACCUUUCCACAGCCUGCCUCGGCCUCCCUGGGAUCUCGGGUGACAGGCUUACACCACCAUGCCCAGUGAGUACGCAUUUUACUACAGUACAAAUGUGGAGGAGAAAAGAAGAUUUGGCUUCGUGUCCUUUAAACGGAUGCCUGCGUCGUGGUCCCAUCCUGGAGACACGGGUGUGUGCUGAGCAGCUUCGGCUGUCGUCCAGACCUAAAUCCCCUGCCGUGGUCUCAGUGUAGGAGCGAGGGGCGUGGCUGGCAGAGCAGAGGAAGAGCCUGUUAAAGUGUUAACAUUUCUGUGAUUGAAUGGACCCCCCGCCCAAGGAAAAAUGUGGGUACUUUGGAAAUCCUAAAAGAGUCUGAGUGGCCCAGGAAGGGUCCUAAGAAGGGUCCAUGAAGUUCUAAAACUUCAUGCCUUACCGGGGCCAUGGUGGCGUUGACUUCAUCUCCAGUGGCUUUGAUUUCCAGGGACUGCUGGACUCUGCAUGUCCUAGAUGUCCGGCCAGGCUGUCCACCUGCAGAGAUGAAGGCAGGAGUACGCCUCCUGGGAGAGGAUGGUCCGCAGGUGUCGCCCUCCCUCUACGUGGGAAGAGAGCAGGCUGCCUGCACGCUGGUGUCACUCUUCCUGCUGGAAGCAGAAGCAGACGGCACCGGUGACGGCCAGUGCAGCCCCUGGGGCUCUUUUGUCUGCACGUGUGCACAUGUGCUUGUUCAGGUCUGGGGCGCAGGGUGGGGGGGCCGCAGGGGACAGGAAAGAGCGGCUGUGCACAGCCUGGUGACUCACAGCGUGGACCACCCAGGGGCCAGUGACUUGGGCAGGGACAGUGUGCCAGCUGCCCGGCCCUGGAGCAUGCAGGGCAGGCGCGCCCCGGGCCCGUCGGCGCCUGCCGCAUCUUGUCGCUCAUGCAAAUCGCCAGAAGCUCCCCGCUGUCUGUGUUCCCCACUUAAUCCCCGCUCAGAGCUGCUUUUGACCCUUGGCUAUACUUUCUUAAUUCCCAAAUGUCAUUAGUGGGAGAGUAACACUAAUCUCCUGAAAAUUAAAUGGGAUUACGUCCAUUUCCAACUCCCAAUUUCCGUUUCAUUUUCAACUGCUAGAUAGUAGCUUGUCCCACAGGUGCUCAGCGGAGCUGGACCUUGAUGGCCGGUGGCUCAGGGUUGGUUUUGUCACACAAGAUUUUCUCGGAGAGAAAGGAACCUGUUUCAGGGUCACACAGCCAGCCGUUGUCUUCCUUGAUUUCUAGGUGGUGUAGAAACCGGCAGGCAGGGUGACUGCAGGACUGUCCUGAGUCCCCUCCCAGAGCCGGGUAUCGGCUGCUGUGAGCAGGAAGCCAGGCGGACCCACGCUGCCUGUGUCCUGGCUCGGCAUCCCGCUGUGCGUGGUGUGACCCUGGACAGGCCCCUCGGCGUCUUUGUGUCCACUUUGCUCUCUCAUUUGUAGGGUGAGGCUUUUGUGAAUACUCUGUGCCAGUACGUGGUCCCAGGGUACCACCUCUGCUGUUCUGGUUCUGUCUGUGAUACAGAGAAUCGGGCCCAGAGCUCUCAUUCUGAGCUACACCCCAACCUCUUUUGUCUCUUUUAUUUGCGGCGGAGGCUCGCCAGGUUUCUCGAGCUGGGCUUGGACUUGCUGUCCUCCUCCUCAGCCGUGCAGGGUGCUGAGGUGAAAGUCGAGCUCUGCCACGCGCCGCUUUCUGUUGUCCUUGAUGCUUUCCGGUCAUUGCUGGUGGCCAUCAGCUGAUGGGCAUAUUGUUAGUUCCCAUGGAGGGUGCACUGCAAACCAGGACCUGCGCUGAGAGUGGCCAGGGCUGCAGCCGGCCGGCUUGUUUGAUGACUGCUUUCAGAAGCCACAUCCUUUAGAAGCACCCUCCUCACCUGGCCUCGGGCGUCCCAAGUCUCUGCGGUGUCUCCCCUGCCUUCCACUCUAAAUAGCUCUGCCGUCAGGCGUAAAGCCCAGCCACUGGGUCACUUAGCUGUGCUCAUCUGUGCUAGAAGCCUGCUGUCCCCAAAUGGUCCCUGCAAUAAGCACAAAGGCCAACCCAUCAUCAUGCUAUGUAUCCAUAGGCAGUUACCAAGCGGUGUGCCCCGAGCCAGGUGUCACAGAGAACCAGGGCAGCUCUCCUUACCAGUAGGCAGAACCAGGCACCAAGGGGCACAGCAUUAAAUUGUUCCUGCCCCUUUUGUGCCAGGAUCAAUGGUGACAGAUAAGGCAGGAGUCCAAGGUGGUGCAGUGCCUCAGAGUGACGAGUGGCACUAGGUGGGCAUAGCAGAGGCUGCCCCACCCCAGUGGGCUCCUCUCAAGUGGGUAUUAAGCCUCUGCCGUGUGCCAUGCAGUGUUGGUACUCUGCUGACUGUGCCACGUGCAGCGGCCCCGGAGAGUCUCAGAUGUGACACUGGAGUGUGCCCAAACCCACAUGGAACCGCUUGGCGGCCGGGUGCUGUCCUGUGGUGUGGGUCAGAAGUGGUGUGGGUUGUUUCUGAUCCUGAAACCUGCAGUGUGAUAGGGAUGCCAGACCUUGACUGCAUCCCCCGAGAGCGGCUUUGAAGUGGGUGGUGAAGUGACUCCAGCACACGCAAUAGGCAAAUUAGUUUCAGCACCAUGGGACCCUGUGCCACCAAAGUCCGUGGGUGCGAGGUGCCUGUGAGCGCGCCUCCCGGCCGCAGAGGCUUUGGAGUGGGCAGCCUGUGUGGCGAUUGUGCUGGCCAAGCGAACCCUGUUGUCUUCCAUGACCUCACUGCCAGCUGGGCCGCUGCACCUUCACACCCUGGGCCCUGGGCACCGCACAUCUGGGGUUGGGGUGGGCGGGAGCCUGUGGGGGGCAUUGGCGAGGUUCUCCGGGAACUGGAGCCUCAAAAGGGGUCGGGUGGGGCAUCGGAGCUCUCCCUCCAGAGGUCAUUUUAGGGGAAGAGGGUGUGUGACAAGGACAGCAGAUGCAACCUUCCCCCCCCAGUGCUGUGACAGAGGUGUCCCCUCUCCAGGGGCAGCUGUGUAGUCCACUGUUGUGUCCAGGCCCCUCUGUUCCUCUGGGUUCUUGGAGAACACGCACAUUACCUGUCUCUACCUGGCCUGGGAGGCGCAGCCUCGUGCCGAGCAGCAGGAAUUCUGGGGGCCGAGCCUUGCCCCCUUCUGCACGCCUGUGCUCGGCCCAAGCGCAGUGCUGUGUUCUGCCUGUGGUGACCUGUCAUUUACAAAGCUGGCAGUUAAUCGCCUCCGCAUCCACCCUGCUGAGCUUCCUUAGCACUGACAGGGCUGGCAGGCAGCCAGGAGUGGGCAGGUCGGAGGGCGCGCUCACACGUGGUCGUGGCCCUGAUUUUUCAUGUGCUGUGAGACACGUGGGCUGCAUGCAGCACUGUCCUUGAACACUCAAGGCACACGAGUUCCCCGGUGUUAAAAUACAAAGCAGGAAAUGAGCUCUCAAGGCGCAGGGCUUGUCCCCUGUCCCCAGGUGAUGAUGGUGGCAGAACUUAGAUAACCAGGAAGCACCUCCCGCGCCCAAGAAAGGGCUUCCUGUCCCACCACCACUAUGGCUUCUUGGCUACCCUCCUGCUGUGAGCCUUUCUGCACCCCCUGCACCCUGACUCACUCCCACUCUGAGGGAACGAGGGUCCCUGAGGGUCCCUCCUCCCUGAGCAGCCCUGGGCAGGCUCUUCUCCCAGUGGGCAGACCCUGUGCUUGGAGGGCAGCCAGGACUCCUCCCCUUGCUUUGGUCAGUGCCACCACUUUGCACGAUGGCAGUCGGCAUGUUGGGUUUUACUCCUGGAAGGCAUCUUCAGAACAGUGUAAACCUGAACCGCUACUUCCCGCUGAGACAGCCUGCAGGGUUACUAUGGUCAGAGGAGACCCUGCUCUCGCUGAGCUAUGGCAGAGGUGUUUACCAUUCACCUGUGCUUAGAAGAUGCCUCAAAGCCACGUGAGCAGCUGCCUGGCUUGGACAGGCCCAGGGAGCAGGCUUCCCCGAUGCCUGCCCGUCCAGACCAGCAUCCCGAGGGCCCCACCAUCCGGGAGGUCACACAGCAUCUUUGUCCUUUGGCUCCACGUGUUUGUUGUCUUAAGAGAGCUUUCAAACCUAUGUGCUGGAGGCAAACGUAAAUACGUGUCACCCAGAAGUGCCCACUUAUGUGGUGUGAAAAUACAUAUAGGUGUCUGUGUAGGGAAAGUAACAUGACCUUUUAACAGAUCAUCUUGUUUCAAAUGUUGUUUCAUCCUGAUGUUUCCAGCAGCUCGUGUGUGUAUUCAUUCGGCACGGGCCGCCGGGUGGUUCCCUGUUGCUGUCCGAGUCAGUGGCUUCCCGCAGGGACCACCGCUUGGUGCUCGGCUCUGACUGUGGCCCGGGCUCCUCACAGCCACACACUGCUGUCCUCGCCCCAGAGCGGACACGAGCGGUGUGCAGGUGACCAGGUCGGGCCGGCACUAACAGAAAUUUGCAGACGCUGAAAUUUGAAUUGCUUUCUUUCUGUGUGUCACAAAUGACUGUUGCCCUUUUGGUUUUUUCCAGUCAUUAAAAUGUGUAAGGAUUUAAAGAAAUACAGUGGUGCCUCCACAAUUCUGGGGAAAACAGCCAAGUCUGUGUUUGUCACCUGGUGGAGAGUUCACAGAGGAGACAGAUUUUGCUGUAUGUGUCUGUUCCCAAACUGAAUUGUUCACAAACAGAAGUAUUUGUGAACCAAGUUACUGCCAUAUGUGAAAGUAUUUUUGGUGCAUGCAACUGGCAUGUGGGGCCUGGUUCUCAGAGCCUCUCUGGUCGCCAUGGGCCUCCUCUGGUCAGCAGCAGACCCUGAGGCCGAGGGGAGACAUCGCCUCGAGUUAGACAAGCUCACUGUCACAGACAGUCCCGGCUCUGCCCUUUAACCCCGCUGCCUGCCCGUCAGCACUGCGCCUGGCCCAAGAUGCACCGGCCAGCUCUGCGCUGGCCGAGGAGUUUUCCCAGUUGUGCUGUGCGUCCCCUUUCUGCUCCACGGCCACGGCUCAGUCUGACCCCUGUGGCCACCACGUGGGUCCCCAUACACUGCUCGGGCACAGGGGUCUCAGCUGCUCCCUUCCUGGCUGCCGCAGUCCCUGGGACCCAGGUCACGACCCCAGGGGUUCUGCUGAGGCGUGGCCACCCGCGGAGCCCUCAGCACCCGUCGCAGGCUCUUUCGAGACAGCUUUGCAGUAGGCUUCUGCCUUCUCUGCAGUAGCUAUGGAAACGCUAGGAACCCUGUGUCCAGAGCCAAGCACACAAUGAAGCGCUUCAAGUGCUGGUGGGAUUAGAGACUUCGGGGAUGUUAGAUUUUCUCCCCCACUCUUUCAGGCUCGCUGUCUCUUUAGAGAGGGAACAAGGGAGCAGUGUGGAUAUGAACUGGGACCUGCGGAGAUCUCCGGCGUGACCCUGCAGACUGGACUAUCCAGGUCCUCGCCCACUGUCCGCUCCUAAUAAAGACCCCUGCAUAUUCA